CCGGCCUGAGAGGGCGGACGGCCACACUGGGAAUGAGACACGGCCCAGACUCCUACGGGAGGCAGCAGUGGGGAAUUGUUCGCAAUGGGCGCAAGCCUGACGACGCAACGCCGCGUGGAGGAUGAAGGUCUUCGGAUUGUAAACUCCUGUUGAUCGGGAAGAAUAGCCUCCGGGUGAAUACUCCGGGGGAAUGACGGUACCGAUUGAGGAAGCCACGGCUAACUCUGUGCCAGCAGCCGCGGUAAUACAGAGGUGGCAAGCGUUGUUCGGAAUUACUGGGCGUAAAGGGCGCGUAGGUGGCCUUGUUAGUCAGACGUGAAAUCCCCAAGCUUAACUUGGGAACUGCGUCUGAUACUGCAAGGCUUGAGUUCGGGAGAGGGAUGUGGAAUUCCAGGUGUAGCGGUGAAAUG
rnacentral:rRNA from 1 species